rnacentral:rRNA from 1 species
AUGAACGCUGGCGGCGUGCUUAACACAUGCAAGUCGAACGAAGCACUUUACUACGAUUUCUUCGGAAUGACGGUUUUGUGACUGAGUGGCGGACGGGUGAGUAACGCGUGGAUAACCUGCCUCAUACAGGGGGAUAACAGCCGGAAACGGCUGCUAAUACCGCAUAAGCGCACGGUACCGCAUGGUACAGUGUGAAAAACUCCGGUGGUAUGGGAUGGAUCCGCGUCUGAUUAGCCAGUUGGCGGGGUAACGGCCCACCAAAGCGACGAUCAGUAGCCGACCUGAGAGGGCGACCGGCCACAUUGGGACUGAGACACGGCCCAGACUCCUACGGGAGGCAGCAGUGGGGAAUAUUGCACAAUGGAGGAAACUCUGAUGCAGCGACGCCGCGUGAGUGAAGAAGUAAUUCGUUAUGUAAAGCUCUAUCAGCAGGGAAGAUAGUGACGGUACCUGACUAAGAAGCUCCGGCUAAAUACGUG